GCACCGGUGGAUUUAGGUUCGGCGUCGAGUUCGAGAGGUGAGUUUGGACCGGUUAUGAAGGGGAAGUACGGUGCGUUUGGUGCGGUUACUUUGGAGAAAGGGAAACUCGAUUUGUCGCAGAAGGAGUCCAAAAUUAGCCCUGAGGUUGCACUUGGGGGAGGUGGUGGAGAUAUUGGAAAGAAAAUCAAUCAUGGUGGUGGUGAUGGAGGUGAUGAUGACGGUGACGAUGAUGAUUAUUUUGAUGACUUCGACGAUGAUGAUGAGGAAGNAGGGUGGACUAUUCAGGAGAAGGAAAUUUCUUGAAGAGCUUUUUGAUCGAAAAUUUGUAGAUGCUGUUUUGAAUGAAUGGCAGAAAACAAUGAUGGAUUUGCCUGCUGGAUUCCGACAAGCUUAUGAGAUGGGCUUGGUGAGCUCAGCUCAAAUGGUGAAAUUCCUAGCAAUAAAUGCCAGACCAACCACUACUAGGAUGAUCUCCAGAGCACUUCCUCAAGCAUUUUCUAGGGCAUUUAUUGGAAGGAUGCUAGCAGAUCCUGCCUUUUUAUAUAGGCUUCUUUUAGAGCAGGCUGCUGCAAUUGGUUGCUCUGUUUGGUGGGAGGUGAAAAAGCGCAAGGAUAGGAUAAAACAGGAAUGGGAUCUGGCACUUGUAAAUGUGCUCACAGCAACAGCUUGCAAUGCCAUUGUCGUUUGGACACUUGCUCCUUGCCGCUCGUAUGGAAACACAUUCCGGUUUGAUUUGCAAAAUACAUUACAGAAGCUUCCAAACAAUAUAUUUGAAAAGAGUUACCCACUUAGAGAGUUUGACUUGCAAAAGAGAGUCCACUCAUUCUUCUAUAAGGCUGC
rnacentral:misc_RNA from 1 species